GUCGACAUUCGGAAAGAGAAGCUACUUGGAAACGAGAGGAAGAAAUGAAGGAGAAAUAUCCCCAGCUCUUUAAGACCACAGGUACGAAAAAUUUUGAAGACAAAAUUUUUUUUAGGGGUAAAGAAUAUUAUAACCCAAACCCAAUUGAGAAGAUCCAAGCCCAAAGCCCAAGCCCAAUUGAAAAAUAAAAAACAACAGAGGAUAUC
rnacentral:lncRNA from 1 species